rnacentral:rRNA from 1 species
UACGUAGGAUCCAAGCGUUGUCCGGAUUUACUGGGCGUAAAGGGUGCGCAGGUGGUUGUGCGCGUGGGGGGUGAAAUCGCCCGGCUUAACUGGGCGGGGGCCUUCCAGACGGCAUGACUUGAGCAGCGGAGGGGGACGUGGAAUUCCGGGUGGAGCGGUGAAAUGCGUAGAGAUCCGGAGGAACACCGACGGCGCGAGCAGCGUCC